UACGGGGGGGGCAAGCGUUGUUCGGAAUUACUGGGCGUAAAGGGCUCGUAGGCGGCCAACUAAGUCCGACGUGAAAUCCCCAGGCUUAACCUGGGAACUGCGUCGGAUACUGGAUGGCUUGAAUCCGGGAGAGGGAUGCGGAAUUCCAGGUGUAGCGGUGAGAUGCGUAGAUAUCUGGAGGAACACCGGUGGCGAAGGCGGCAUCCUGGACCGGCAUUGACGCUGAGGAGCGAAAGCCAGGGGAGCAAACGGG
rnacentral:rRNA from 1 species